rnacentral:tRNA from 1 species
UCCCUGGUAGUCCAGUGGUUAAGACUGCAUUUCUAAUGCAAGGAAUGCAGGUUUGAUCCCUGGUCAGGGAA